rnacentral:rRNA from 1 species
GUGUCAGCAGCCGCGGUAAUACGUAGGUGGCAAGCGUUGUCCGGAUUUAUUGGGUUUAAAGGGUGCGUAGGCGGCUUUGUAAGUCAGUGGUGAAAUAUGGCAGCUCAACUGUCAAGGUGCCAUUGAUACUGCAGAGCUUGAGUACAGAUGAGGUAGGCGGAAUUGACGGUGUAGCGGUGAAAUGCUUAGAUAUCGUCAAGAACACCUAUAGCGAAGGCAGCUUACUAGGCUGUAACUGACGCUGAGGCACGAAAGUGUGGGGAUCAAACAGGAUUAGAUACCCUGGUAGUCCACACUGUAAACGUUGAUUACUCGCUGUGUGCGAUAUACAGUACGCGGCCAAGCGAAAGCGCUAAGUAAUCCACCUGGGGAGUACGCCGGCAACGGUGAA